UAUUAAUGGAAAUCUUGGUGCGCAUGAAUUACUGCACGCAGUUGACUUUCGUAUCCCUGUUUUUAAAUCUCGCUCUGUAACCCAUUCUCUGUUUCAUUUUUUUACCAGUUACAUGUCUAACCGUCUUUUUAACAUUGAUGUUGGCCUACGAAGUUCUAUCUUUUUUACUCUAGAUUUUAUGAUUUUUAAGUAUAUUUAUAUCUUUAGCUAUUGCAAUUUUGUACCAUCAACUUAACUGUCGUGUCUGUAAUCUAUAUUAUUGGUUU